rnacentral:rRNA from 1 species
GAUGAACGCUAGCGGCAGGCUUAAUACAUGCAAGUCGAGGGGCAGCGCGGGGUAGCAAUACUCUGGCGGCGACCGGCAAACGGGUGCGGAACACGUACAGAACCUUCCUUCGAGCGGGGAAUAGCCCAGAGAAAUUUGGAUUAAUACCCCAUAGUAUAGCGGAGUGGCAUCACUCUGUUAUUAAAGAUUUAUCACUUGAAGAUGGCUGUGCGGCUGAUUAGGUAGUUGGCGGGGUAACGGCCAACCAAGCCUGCGAUCAGUAACUGGUGUGAGAGCACGACCAGUCACACGGGCACUGAGACACGGGCCCGACUCCUACGGGAGGCAGCAGUAAGGAAUAUUGGUCAAUGGACGAAAGUCUGAACCAGCCAUGCCGCGUGAAGGAUGAAGGUCCUCUGGAUUGUAAACUUCUUUUAUAUGGGACGAAAAAAGGCUUUUCUAAGUCGUCUGACGGUACCAUUUGAAUAAGCACCGGUUAACUCCGUGCCAGCCGCCGCGGUAAUAC